UACGAAGGGGGCUAGCGUUGCUCGGAAUCACUGGGCGUAAAGCGCACGUAGGCGGAUCUUUAAGUCGGGGGUGAAAUCCUGGAGCUCAACUCCAGAACUGCCUUUGAUACUGAAGAUCUUGAGUCCGGGAGAGGUGAGUGGAACUGCGAGUGUAGAGGUGAAAUUCGUAGAUAUUCGCAAGAACACCAGUGGCGAAGGCGGCUCACUGGCCCGGUACUGACGCUGAGGCACGAAAGCGUGGGGAGCAAACAGG
rnacentral:rRNA from 1 species